ACAUGCAAGUCGAACGAGAAGACAGGACUCGGUCCUGUGGCGAGUGGCGAACGGUGCGUACACGUGAGCAACCUGCCCCUAAGUACGGAAUAGCCCACCGAAAGGUGGAUUAAUACCGCAUGUGACCCUUUAUCGCAUGGUAGAGUGGUUAAAGCUUGUAAUGGCGCUUAGGGGAUGGGCUCGCGGCCUAUCAGCUUGUUGGUGAGGUAACGGCUCACCAAGGCUAAGACGGGUAGCUGGUCUGAGAGGAUGAUCAGCCACACCGGGACUGAGACACGGCCCGGACACCUACGGGUGGCAGCAGUUUCGAAUCAUUCACAAUGGGCGAAAGCCUGAUGAUGCAAUGCCGCGUGGAGGAUGACGGCCCUAGGGUUGUAAACUCCUGUCAUUAGGGAACAACAAGUAGGUUCAUAGCCUACCCUGAGUUAACCUAAAGAGGAAGAGGUGGCUAACUCCGUG
rnacentral:rRNA from 1 species